rnacentral:rRNA from 1 species
AGAAUGAACGCUGGCGGCGUGCCUAACACAUGCAAGUCGGAUGUGCCCGCAAGGGUGCAUGGCAGACGGGUGAGUAACGCGUGGAAAACCUACCUCUUUGUGGGGAAUAACGCUCCGAAAGGAGUGGUAAUACCGCAUGAGACCAUGGACUGGGAUGUUCAUGGUGAAACCUGGGGACCGCAAGGCCUGGGGCAAGGAGAGGGUUCUGCGUCUGAUUAGCUAGUUGGUGGGGUAAUGGCCUACCAAGGCGACGAUCAGUAGCCGGCCUGAGAGGGUGAUCGGCCACACUGGAACUGAGACACGGUCCAGACUCCUACGGGAGGCAGCAGUGGGGAAUUUUGCGCAAUGGGCGAAAGCCUGACGCAGCAACGCCGCGUGGGUGAUGAAGGUCUUCGGAUCGUAAAACCCUGUCGUCGGGGACGAAGGUUGCGGGUUGAAUAGGCUCGUAACUUGACGGUACCCGGAGAGGAAGCCCCGGCUAACUCUGUGCCAGCAGCCGCGGUAAUACAGAGGGGGCAAGCGUUAUUCGGAAUUAUUGGGCGUAAAGGGCGCGUAGGCGGUGUUUUAAGUGAGAUGUGCAAUCCCCGAGCUUAACUUGGGAACUGCAUCUCAGACUGGAACGCUAGAGUACUGGAGAGGGUGGUAGAAUUCCACGUGUAGCGGUGAAAUGCGUAGAGAUGUGGAGGAAUACCAGUAGCGAAGGCGGCCACCUGGACAGUAACUGACGCUGAGGCGCGAAAGUGUGGGUAGCAAACAGGAUUAGAUACCCUGGUAGUCCACGCCCUAAACGAUGCACACUUGGUGUGGGCAGUUCAUUCUGUCUGUGCCGGAGCUAACGCGUUAAGUGUGCCGCCUGGGGAGUACGGUCGCAAGGCUGAA